AUGAACGCUGGCGGCGUGCCUAAUACAUGCAAGUCGAGCGAACGGACGAGAAGCUUGCUUCUCUGAUGUUAGCGGCGGACGGGUGAGUAACACGUGGAUAACCUACCUAUAAGACUGGGAUAACUUCGGGAAACCGGAGCUAAUACCGGAUGAUAUUUUGAACCGCAUGGUUCAAAAGUGAAAGACGGUCUUGCUGUCACUUAUAGAUGGAUCCGCGCUGCAUUAGCUAGUUGGUAAGGUAACGGCUUACCAAGGCAACGAUGCAUAGCCGACCUGAGAGGGUGAUCGGCCACACUGGAACUGAGACACGGUCCAGACUCCUACGGGAGGCAGCAGUAGGGAAUCUUCCGCAAUGGGCGAAAGCCUGACGGAGCAACGCCGCGUGAGUGAUGAAGGUCUUCGGAUCGUAAAACUCUGUUAUUAGGGAAGAACAUAUGUGUAAGUGACUGUGCACAUCUUGACGGUACCUAAUCAGAAAGCCACGGCUAACUACGU
rnacentral:rRNA from 1 species